rnacentral:rRNA from 1 species
AUUGAACGCUGGCGGCAUGCCUUACACAUGCAAGUCGAACGGCAGCACGGGAGCUUGCUCCUGGUGGCGAGUGGCGAACGGGUGAGUAAUACAUCGGAACGUACCCUGAAGUGGGGGAUAACGUAGCGAAAGUUACGCUAAUACCGCAUAUUCUGUGAGCAGGAAAGAGGGGGAUCGCAAGACCUCUUGCUUUAGGAGCGGCCGAUGUCGGAUUAGCUAGUUGGUGAGGUAAAAGGCUCACCAAGGCGACGAUCCGUAGCGGGUCUGAGAGGAUGAUCCGCCACACUGGGACUGAGACACGGCCCAGACUCCUACGGGAGGCAGCAGUGGGGAAUUUUGGACAAUGGGCGCAAGCCUGAUCCAGCCAUGCCGCGUGAGUGAAGAAGG